UACGGUACGGGUUCGUGUACGGGUAUGAGCGAAGCAAAAUGGAGGACACAAAAAAAUAAACAAUUCACUUCUCGAUUUAUUGGUUUUAUAUAUAUAUGAGAGGUAGAAGGGUGAAAAAGGAUAUUAAAAUUUGAAUAGCACACCAUAACUAUUCGAGGAGAUUGUAAUGACAAGUCAAAAGCCAGCGCACGGGGCGGUGCCUAAGGGGGAUGUAUCCUACCUGAGGGCCACCCCAGGGCCUCAGUUCCCUGUUGCUCCUUCACCACUACCUGCAUUGGAAUCAAACCAUGUGCCAGUUGCUCCUCAGCAACACAAUGUCAACAGUGACCUGGAAGACAAGUUAGAACUUCAACAACGAGAGCUGGAGGAGAUUCGAGCCCGAGCCUCACAGAUGGAGAAAACGAUGCGCUGGUGGUCAGACUGCACAUCCAACUGGCGUGAAAAAUGGAGUAAAGUUAGAAAUGAAAGAAAUAAAGCUAGAGAAGAAAAUAGACAACUAAGAGCAAAACUUGACCUAUGUAUCAAAGAAAUUAACAGUUUAAAAAGAGAAAGAGAAGGGUUGGUAAAUACGAGCAAAGAUAAUGAUAAAAGUAAAGUAACAGAUAAACAGAUAGAACUAUCAGAUGACUCCAAAACUACCUCUAGUAACAGUUUAGAUAGUGUACAAUCAAAAUGUGAGCUCCAGAGUACCUCUGCACAGACUGAACCGUUUGUCCAGCCAAGUGCUAACUCUCCCCAAGCAGAGGCAAAACCAACCAAAGAAUCAACUACUGGUGUAAGAAGUGAUGUUUCUAAGUCUCCAGAGUGUUCAGAGACAAUAGCAGGAGAUAAACUUGCUCUUUUGGAGCUGAAGUUAGAGGAAUCACAAAAAACAAUUACAGCAGAAAGGGAAGAAAAGUCACAGCUUGCAAAGUCUUUAGAGACGAUGAGGCAUGAUGUUAAUAGUUGGAAAUCAAAGUAUGAGGAACAAAAUCAAAUUAAACAUGAUCUGGAGGUACAGGUAAGAAAAUUAAAGGACCAACACGAAGAAGAGUUAUGUCGAGUAUCUUCCGACCUUCAGGAUGAACAGUCGUCGAGGAGUACUGUAGAUAAACGACUCUCAGAACUGAGACUAGAGCUUGAAAGACUACAGAAGGAGAAUGCAGAUGAAUGGGGUAAACGAGAGAGAAUGGAGACAGAAAAACUGGCCCUUGAACGGGAAAAUAAAAAAUUACGUACACAGAUAUCUGACCUCGAAGAACAGCUGGAGAGAAAAAGCACUCAUGCUUCAACAGUGACAAAUAAAGAUAUUAAAACUCUACAGAUGGAGGUGUCAGAAAAAAAUAAGGAACUGGCUGACCUUAAACAUGUUCAUACAAAACUGAAGAAGACAUUACAAGAGCGUCUCACUGACCUGGAGCAUAGCAAGCGUCGAUGUGACCAGUUUGAGAUGGAGGUGAAAAAACUUCGGUCACGUGUAGAGGAACUGAAACGGGAACUUGCCAUGGCAGAAGAUGAGGUUGAUACACAAGCUAACAAUGUACGAAAGGUACAGAGGAACAGUGAUGAGCUUCAAGAACAGGUAGAGAAUCUCCAGGUACAACUAGAACAUCUUCAGAGCAGGUAAGUUAACAAUGUAGGUAAGGUACAGACGAACAGUGAUGAGCUGCAAGAACUGGUGGAGAAUCUCCAGGUACAACUAGAACAUCUUCAGAGCAGGUAAGUUAACAAUGUAGGUAAGGUACAGAGGAACAGUGAUGAACUGCAAGAACAGGUGGAAAAUCUUCAGGUACAACUAGAACAUCUUCAGAGCAGGUAAGUUAACAAUGUAGGUAAGGUACAGAGGAACAGUGAUGAGCUUCAAGAACAGGUAGAGAAUCUUCAGGUACAACUAGAACAUCUUCAGAGCAGGUAAGUUAACAAUGUAGGUAAGGUACAGACGAACAGUGAUGAGCUUCAAGAACUGGUGGAGAAUCCCCAGGUACAACUAGAACAUCUUCAGAGCAGGUAAGUUAACAAUGUAGGUAAGGUACAGGGGAACAGUGAUGUGCUUCAAGAACAGGUAGAGAAUCUCCAGGUACAACUAGAACAUCUUCAGAGCAGGUAAGUUAACAAGGUAGGUAAGGUACAGAGGAACAGUGAUGAGCUUCAAGAACUGGUGGAGAAUCCCCAGGUACAACUAGAACAUCUACAGAGCAGGUAAGUUAACAAUGUAGGUAAGGUACAGACGAACAGUGAUGAGCUUCAAGAACAGGUAGAGAAUCUUCAGGUACAACUAGAACAUCUACAGAGCAGAUUGAGAAGGAGUUCACAGCCAGGCUCUGGGUCACAUGCAGGUGGCCACAGGUCGUACAGUCCGGAUCUUCAGGCUCUUGAAAUAGAUGAUGACUCUGAUGAUGAUUUCAGUGAUGGCCCAUAGUAAUCUUAAGAAGUUUAUCAAAAAUUUGGCGAGUCAUGACUAGCUUACAAUAAACUCAUGCAGCAGUAUCAAGUGCAAUGAAUUACAGAUAUAUUGGAAUAUAUUCUUAAAUGUUUUCAUGUAGAUGGUUCUUUUAUGUUUUCAUAAUUAUCGUCCUUGGAAACAUUAGCCCUCUUUUUCAUUUUGUCGAAUAUACUAUUUGCUUAAAGAUAUUUCACAAAAUCAGGUAGAAACGCUUGAAGUUUUGAUAAAAGUUAGUCUUUUAACUUUAAAAGAAAAGCUAUACCAAGAGCCCAAGAAUUUUACAUUAAAGAGCAGAAAAUUUUCUGUUGUGAAUGAGAUUUGAAAGUUGUGAGGUAUUAUUUAUUUUAGGAAGUUUUUGAGUCAUUUAUGCAGUAGGCUUUAAUUAAUACAUUGUUGUUCAGAGAUACUGUUGGAGCUAGGGAAACAGUGGUUAUAUUGUAGGGAUGUCAGUGAUUGCUCAGUUAACCAUUUGAACAUCCGAUUAUUGGUGAAUGAAAUAAGUAAUCUUUUAUUCUAAUUUUAUUUACGUUUCUUCAAAAUAAUAAAAAAUUUAAAGUUCAUAAACAAUGAUCGGUCAUGUUUUAAUUUGACCAGUGUGGUUAAACAACAGUUUUAAGUUUUCAAUAUGCUUUCUCCUUCUAUAGUCAUCUUGAAAUUCUUCAUAAGACAGUGACAUUAUUGCUGUAUAUUUCUAUCAAAAAUGUUACAUACAUGUAAUAAUAGAAGACAUAUGAAAUAAUAGUCUGGUCCAAAUUUCUGUUUAGUUGAGGGG